rnacentral:lncRNA from 1 species
GUGCUUUAUGUCUCAGGCAAUACACACAAAUCUCUCACAUGAAUUUGUUAUUUUGGCCCUCAGGGCAACUCUGUGGGAUAGGGGGAGGGUUAUUGUUGCUGUUUUACAGAUGGGGAAGCUGAGGCCCAGAGAAGUUAAGUAAGUUGUCUAAGUUCACAAAGUUACCAGAAGAUUGUGGAGUGGUCUUCCAGGGAGAGUUAUCUUGUAUCAGGAAGGAGAGAUGAUUACUUAGGAAAGCCCAAGAAACAACAGGUAUUUGAAAGCUAUAGCAGUUCAUCUGGGGUUGAUCUGGGAGCAUACAGCAAAAAAAGAGCUAAAAUGCAAGGCACCAACGUAGAAAAGCCCACCUGGUCUCUCUUCUUAGGGUGGCUCCUCUCUGUCUCUCUGCCUCUGCCUCUUGUCCUAGCCCAGCAUGGCCGCAGGUCCCAGGUUCUGUGACAUCACAGUGCAGUGCCCACAGCUCACUGUUGGUUCCUGCCAUUGAGAUUAUCUGAUUGGCCACUGGCCAGCCAAUGGUGGAUCAGACUUUGGAGCAGGUGAUCCUUGGACGCCCACAGUACAUCACCUUCAUGAGCGCAUCAGUGAACACCAGUCUAAGGAAGACAUCUCUGAACGUAAUUUUGGAGAUUUUGAUGAGUUCCAUUGAAACAAGGAGGAAUGUGAUGUCCAGUAUCAGUUCUGCAGACCCAAGGACAAAGAAAAUUCUGUGAUAAACUCAUCCAGUGUGACUGUAAUGAUACAAGACACCGGACUUUCAAAUCAACAAUUGUUUCAAAAGACUCCUACUGGAUUCCUGCUAGUGAUGGGAGAAAAUUAUCAUUCUGCUAGUUAAUCUGUAGCCAGAGAUGAUUAAGGAGGUCAUUAAAGGAAAACAAGCUGCCCACCAUGCUGAUGCCUGGUUGUUCAGAUCGUUGAGGUGGUGUAGAGAUGACGCACACUGGCUCAGUUUACCCACAUUUGGAUCUACGGACCUGCAAGUCCUCUGUCAUGACACACCAGCCCUGGGAUAUCACAUAAGCUACAGGUCAGACGCUGCUUUCCAGACAGAAUUAUGGAGAAGACAACCAUCAUUUUGGCCCUGCUGGAAAUUUUCCAUGCUCUUCAUUCGUUCUCCUGUAUUUCCUAACGCCAAUAAAAGAGGAGAUCCCUGAGGACACGCCUCUCUUUAAUAUCUGCUUUCCUUGCAAAGAUAAGCCAAAGACCAAUGUAUGUCGUAUCUGCCCCCUUCAGCCUUUGGGACACAAUUUUGAUAAACCUUCCUCUAUUUCACAUUAACAGAAAAUGUCACUUCUCC